AUGCGAAAGAUCCCGACUUCACGGAAGGGAUGUAUUUAUUAGACUAAAAACCAAUGCGGGCCUCGGUCCGCUUGCUUGGUGAUUCAUGAUAACUUUUCGAAUCGCAUGGCCUUGCGCCGGCGAUGUUUCAUUCAAAUUUCUGCCCUAUCAACUGUCGAUGGUAAGGUAGUGGCUUACCAUGGUUGCAACGGGUGACGGAGAAUUAGGGUUCGAUUCCGGAGAGGGAGCCUGAGAAACGGCUACCACAUCUAAGGAAGGCAGCAGGCACGAAAAUUACCCAAUCCCGAUUCGGGGAGGUAGUGACAAGAAAUAACGGUACGGGGCCUUUAUAGGUCUCGCAAUCGGAAUGAGAACAAUUUAAAUCCUUUAACGAGGAUCAAUUGGAGGGCAAGUCUGGUGCCAGCAGCCGCGGUAAUUCCAGCUCCAAUAGCGUAUAUUAAAGUUGUUGCAGUUAAAAAGCUCGUAGUUGGAUUUCGGAGCGGGCCCGUUGGUCCACCGCAAGGUGAGCUACUGGCGGGUCUGUUCUUCUUCGCAAAGACUGCAGGUGCACUUCGCUGUGUGCUUGUCGGAUUUGUGACGUUUACUUUGAAAAAAUUAGAGUGUUCAAAGCAGGCUUUCGCUUGAAUACAUGAGCAUGGAAUAAUGGAAUAGGACUUUGGUUCUAUUUUGUUGGUUUCUAGGACCGAAGUAAUGAUUAAGAGGGACAAACGGGGGCAUCUGUAUUUCGUUGUCAGAGGUGCAAUUCUUGGAUUUGCGAAAGACAAACAACUGCGAAAGCACUUGCCAAGAGUGUUUUCAUUAAUCAAGAACGAAAGUUAGAGGAUCGAAGACGAUCAGAUACCGUCCUAGUUCUAACCAUAAACGAUGUCGACUAGGGAUCGGCGGGCGUUAUUUUAUGACCCCGUCGGCACCUUACGGGAAACCAAAGUUUUUGGAUUCCGGGGGUAGUAUGGUUGCAAAGCUGAAACUUAAAGGAAUUGACGGAAGGGCACCACCAGGAGUGGAGCCUGCGGCUUAAUUUGACUCAACACGGGAAAACUCACCAGGUCCAGACAUAGUAAGGAUUGACAGGUUGAUAGCCCUUUCUUGAUUCUAUGGGUGGUGGUGCA
rnacentral:rRNA from 1 species